ACUCACAUAGCGCAGUGGUUUGAGUGCUGGACCAUGACUCUGGAGACCAGGGUUCGAAUCCCGUCACACUA